CACAGCCUACGGGAGGCAGCAGUGGGGAAUAUUGGGCAAUGGGCGCAAGCCUGACCCAGCAACGCCGCGUGGAGGAAGAAGGCUUUCGGGUUGUAAACUUCUUUUCUCAGGGACGAAGCAAGUGGCGGUACCUGAGGAAUAAGCCACGGCUAACUACGUGCCAGCAGCCGCGGUAAUACGUAGGUGGCAAGCGUUAUCCGGAUUUACUGGGUGUAAAGGGCGUGUAGGCGGAAAGCAAGUCAGAUGUGAAAACCACGGGCUCAACCUGUGGCCUGCAUUUGAAACUGUUUUUCUUGAGUACUGGA
rnacentral:rRNA from 1 species